GGCGGUGUAGCUCAGCUGGUUAGAGCACACGGUUCAUACCCGUGGCGUCACUGGUUCGAAUCCAGUCACCGCUA
rfam:Collinsella sp. CAG:398 genomic scaffold, scf28